GAAACGGCUACCACAUCUAAGGAAGGCAGCAGGCGCGCAAAUUACCCAAUCCUGACUCAGGGAGGUAGUGACAAGAAAUAACAACACUGGAAAUUUGAUUUCUAGUGAUUGGAAUGAUGGGAAUCCAAACCCCUUUCAGAGUAACAAUUGGAGGGCAAGUCUGGUGCCAGCAGCCGCGGUAAUUCCAGCUCCAAUAGCGUAUAUUAAAGUUGUUGCAGUUAAAAAGCUCGUAGUUGGAUGUCUGUUGGAAGCAAUCAUCAGUCCGCCCUAUUUGAUUAGGGUGUGAAUAUGAUGAAUUCCGGCAUAAUUGUCUCCCUAUUGUUAAUAUUUUGAUUGUUAGAUUCAUUUCUAACAAUACGAUUAUUAAUAAUAAGGGGGAAAUGUUACUUUGAGAAAAUUAGAGUGUUUGAAGCAGGCUUUUGUUGCCUUGAAUACUGCAGCAUGGAAUAACAAUAUAGGAUUUCGGUUCUAUUUUGUUGGUUCUUUUUUUAGGACUGAAAUAAUGAUUAAUAGGGACAGUUGGGGGCAUUCGUA
rnacentral:rRNA from 1 species